AAACAAGCGAUGAAAAGAGCAUAGUAGCAACGUGUUUCCCUGUUUCAGAGAGCUGACGGUCGGUGCGAGUCAGAACACAAACUAGUUGUGAAUUACAUUCUUGGAGCUUACUUUUGCAUAGCAAAAGCGGCAUAGCCGUUAUCGUAAUGAAGAGGCAAGCAAAUGCUUGCAAUUAGGGUGGUACCGCGAUCAAUUCGUCCCUACU
rnacentral:ncRNA from 1 species